UGAAGGGGCUAGAUCAGAGGAGAAGUGGCAAUAAUCACCAUGGUGCAUUAGGAAGAUAAAUCCGGUAACACAGGAUGGAGUAGAGACCCCAGAACCAUACGGGGAGUUAGUUAAAAGAGAAAGGCACGUGUGAGACAAGGAGAGAUCAAUGGCUAAUAAAAGAGGUGCUGGAAGAACCAAGAGACAGCGUUGAAGGAAGAGUCAAAGUCCAGGGAACGAUAGGGAAUUGACUGAAAAAAAAAAAAAAAAGACAAAACAGGAUGUAUCCUAUGCUAAAAAAAUAAAUAAAAAAGAGAUAAACACAGAUUAUUCACUGUGCUUGGGUGCAUUGCCCAUCCCUUAAAGGUUAGGAAAGAAAACAGUAGCGUUUGGUUAUCUUUAGAGAGGGUUAAGGGUGGGGGGUAGGACAAGUGUGACUUUUCUCUGAAUACCUUUGUGCCUUUUGGCUUUUGAGCUAUGGGAACAUGUUACCAAUUAAAAACAUAAACAAAACUUUAGAAUUAUAUAUUUUAAAAAAGAAGCUAGGCUGCUCUUCUGAUGUGGUAUCCAUUCUACCAGCCCUAAGGGCAUUGGAAACCCUGAAGUACCUUUUGUCUUUUUUGUGGUUCAGUCAAAAUGUAAAUAAAGCAAUCAUCUGAAGACUUAGCUAUACAUACUGGUUUUCUCUUGUCUCGUGAAGCAGUGUCUGUCCUUAGGUGAGCACAAGUGCUGGAUAUUGGUACUGGGUCAUAUACCCAGGUGCCUGAAAGCUUUUAGGAGCUUUGUGACCCACACAGAACCGCACAUAACCAAAUCAUGGAUUCAGUGUGCUCGUUUGGCCUUCCAGCCCCACGCUGUCCAAUAGAACUAACUACAGGGAUAGAAAUGUUCUCUACCUGUAUUGUCCAAUAGGAUCCCCGCUAGCCACAUGCAGCCCUUGAAAUGUGGCUACUGGACUGAGGAACUGGAUUUUUAAUUUGUAUUCAAUUUUAAUUGAAAUAGCCACACAUGGCUAGUAGCAGCUACAUGGGGUCAGCAAUGAAGCACGGACCCCCGCCACCUUGCCCCUUUGCAUCUAUUCCACCUACACAUCAAGCUUCUGGUAGCCAGCAAACACACAUCUUGAACACUGCAUGACAGACUAGGGAACAUACCAGUGAUGCAAAGAUGAAUAAGACCCACUUCUAGAAAACUCACUCGCUGUUCAGUGGAAGAGACUCAACCGGAAGCCAAUGACAAUAAUGAAACACGAUGGGUGCUUUCUCCUGCAGUAGGAAACAGAGGGAGAAUUGAAGAAAAGUACCCAGAGAAAGUCACAUUCUGCUUAGAUUGGCUUCCCCCAAGAGCAGAUCCUGAGCAAGGAUUUGAGAGCCAAGAAUUUAAUUUGGAAAGUGCAGGCAACUCCAGUAGGGAACAGGGAAGUCAGACAGGAACGGGAAGAUGCCAGCAAAGGGUUCAUUAUGAAGUACCUUCCACUGGGGGUGACCGGAGCUCAACACCACUAGAAAACUCCUGGCGACAGUGUAAUCACACUCAGCAAUCCCACUGGAGGGGGAAGGAGGCUGGGAUAUUUGCAUUGUGCCCCUGUGAGUCAUUGGCUGAUGGUGGCUCCUGGGGGAUGUUAAUUCUCCGGGCACUUCUGGCAUGACUGGCUCUGGCAGAGAGGCCCGUCCAGCUUUGCGGAAAAGCUCCCGGGCGUCGCAACAUGGAUACUGGAUGUCGGAAGCCAGCUGGGCACACUCAGUGAAGGCUUGAGGGAGAACACAUUGGCUGCAUAUUUGAACAGAGGGCCAUGCCCAAGCCCGAGCCCAAAGCAAUGCGUAUGCCAAAAAAUGCGUGUGAAUAGAAGAGAACAGAGAAAAGCAGAAGAGCAGAACCUGCCCCUGUGAGAAACACCCCGAUUCAACAUACAGCUGCUUGCGGGGUGAAAACAGACAGUUGCUAGUGCAUGCGUGGGGUCUCUUAAUACCCAGAGGCCCCGGCUGCUAGUGGGUGCGGCCCUGUCUGUGUUCGGAAAUCUGACGAUCAGAACGGCAACUCCUCUGGCCCAGGACGAGGGAGAAUGGACGGAGCGCAUCCUAUGUUGUUCAGUCUGGAGGCUGUUCAUCUGUCAAACCCUGGCUGGUCACAUUUACUGAACAUCUACAUGGUCCUAGCCUUUAUGGAGUGUGGGGGUGGCAGGGGCAGUGAAAGGGAAGAAAAAACAAAGCCUUGGUUGCCGGCCACAAGAAGAUGACGCGUUACCUAGUCAAAGUGUGUUUAGGACAUCCUGGCCAAUGUGCUCGGAUCCACCCUGCGCCCUUCUCCACUCUCUGCCCUGCGCCCAAGAAGCUGCCCUGAAUGGAGGUGGCCAGCAUUCUAGCUUGCUCUCCGGAUUGAGCCCAUAGAGAGCCCCUGCAGGAGGUUGGAAGAGAGGGGGAGAGCGAGGUCUGAACCCAGCCCCUCCUGAGGCAGCACUGGGGGCCGGGUGCACCCCAACCAGCCUCGGUGGACCUCUCCAUAUUGUGUCCCUCACCCCUGACCCCUUUACAUCUGCUAACGAGCCCCACUGCUACUCAUCUUACUCAGGGGGGAUGCAGUCUCCUCUUACCCUGCUAUCACCUUUGUAAAUGGCCUCUUUAUUAAACUCUCCUCAAAUUGCCCAA